rnacentral:rRNA from 1 species
CAGUAGCCGCGGGAAUACGAAGGGUGCAAGCGUUACUCGGAAUUACUGGGCGUAAAGCGUGCGUAGGUGGUGGUUUAAGUCCGUUGUGAAAGCCCUGGGCUCAACCUGGGAAUUGCAGUGGAUACUGGGUCACUAGAGUGUGGUAGAGGAUAGUGGAAUUUCCGGUGUAGCAGUGAAAUGCGUAGAGAUCGGAAGGAACAUCUGUGGCGAAGGCGACUAUCUGGGCCAACACUGACACUGAGGCACGAAAGCGUGGGGAGCAAACAGGAUUAGAUACCCGUGUAGUCCCUGUCUCUUAUAA